CGGAGGCUGGAGCAGGGUUCCCGGUGGCCGGGCAGGAAGCUCUGCGAGGCUCUCAGUUACACUGGGAGGGGCCGGCUGACCUCACUCUGGUCGGACCGGCGGCCUUUAAACCCGGUGCCUUUGCCGCUGCGGCCGUGCUGCCCCCCGAGUCUGCGAGGCGCUUACGCAGCUGAUAAAGCAAACUCCAGCCUGAAAUUGAGGGUCCACAGCAGGAAAGAAGAUGCGGGCGCCCAUUCCAGAGCCCAAUCCUGGAGACCUGAUUGAGAUUUUCCGCCCCUUCUACAGACACUGGGCCAUCUACGUUGGUGAUGGAUAUGUGGUCCACCUGGCCCCCCCAAGUGAAAUCGCGGGGGCUGGCGCGGCCAGCCUCAUGUCCGCCCUGACCGACAAGGCCAUAGUGAAGAAGGAGCUGCUCUAUUAUGUGGCCGGGAGAGACAAGUACCAUGUCAAUAACAAACAUGACGACAAGUACGAACCGCUGCCUCCCAGCAAAAUCGUCCAGCGGGCGGAGGAGCUGGUGGGGCAGGAGAUGCUCUACAAGCUGACCAGCGAGAACUGUGAGCACUUUGUGAACGAGCUGCGCUACGGAGUCCCCCGCAGUGACCAGAUGGAGAAACCGAGGCUCACAACACUAAAGUAACUUGUCAAUGUCCUGGUACUUGUGAUUUCCUGGGAGUCUACAACCGAGCGAAGUAGCAGUGGUGGGAUUUGAAGCUCAGGUCUGUUUGAAAAGCACUGUCCUCAGCCAUGCAGCAACCCAAGGGAGCUUUAUCUUCAGCGCUCUGAGGUUUCACUGUGAAGUGCCUGUGUGGAUCUAUGCUUAUGUACUGAGUGGGCACUUGACGACUCCUUUCUCUCUGGAACCCCCAUUCCUGCAGGUGAAAUCGCGGGGGCUGGUGCGGCCAGCCUCAUGUCCGCCCUGACUGACAAGGCCAUAGUGAAGAGGGAGCUGCU